AGAAUGUGAACUCUGAAGAUGUGGAUUACUUGCUUAAUGAACCAAUUGAAACUGCAACUGAUACCCUUCAAUUCAAUGAUGGAGCAUUCCUUGAAGCUAGUGAUCUAUCAAGACCCAUUGAUACAUCAAGUUUUGACAUGCUUGAGGAGUACCUUACAUUCUUUGAUGCAGACGAUGACUUCCAGAAUAUGGGUUUCGAUCCACUGAUGAUGACUGGAGGUGAUGAUCAUGUUUCUGACUUAGCAUCUCUGGCUGGUCAAGUUUUGACAUGCUUGAGGAGUACCUUUCAUUCUUUGAUGCAGACGAUGACUUCCAGAAUAUGGGUUUCAAUCCACCAAUGAUGAUUGGAGGUGAUGAUCAUGUUUCUGACUUAGCAUCUCUGGCUGACAAG
rnacentral:lncRNA from 1 species